UACGUAGGUCCCGAGCGUUGUCCGGAUUUAUUGGGCGUAAAGCGAGCGCAGGUGGUUUAUUAAGUCUGGUGUAAAAGGCAGUGGCUCAACCAUUGUAUGCAUUGGAAACUGGUAGACUUGAGUGCAGGAGAGGAGAGUGGAAUUCCAUGUGUAGCGGUGAAAUGCGUAGACAUAUGGAGGAACACCGGCGGCGAAAGCGGCUCUCUGGCCUGUAACUGACACUGAGGCUCGAAAGCGUGGGGAGCAAACAGG
rnacentral:rRNA from 1 species